rnacentral:rRNA from 1 species
CCUACGGGUGGCAGCAGUGAGGAAUAUUGGUCAAUGGGCGCGAGCCUGAACCAGCCAAGUAGCGUGAAGGAUGACUGCCCUACGGGUUGUAAACUUCUUUUAUAAAGGACUAAAGUGAGGCACGUGUGCCUUUUUGUAUGUACUUUAUGAAUAAGGACCGGCUAACUCUGUGCCAGCAGCCGCGGUAAUACGGAGGAUCCGAGCGUUAUCCGGAUUUAUUGGGUUUAAAGGGAGCGUAGAUGGGGUGUUAAGUCAGUUGUGAAAGUUUGCGGCUCAACCGUAAAAUUGCAAUUGAUACUGGCAGCCUUGAGUACAGUUGAGGUAGGCGGAAUUCGUGGUGUAGCGGUGAAAUGCUUAGAUAUCACGAAGAACUCCGAUUGCGAAGGCAGCUUACUAAACUGCCACUGACGUUGAGGCUCGAAAGUGUGGGUAUCAAACAGGAUUAGAUACCCCAGUAGUC